AUGGAUGUCGUCAGCUCGUGUCGUGAGAUGUUGGGUUAAGUCCCGCAACGAGCGCAACCCUUGUCAUUAGUUGCUACAUUUAGUUGGGCACUCUAAUGAGACUGCCGGUGACAAACCGGAGGAAGGUGGGGAUGACGUCAAGUCCUCAUGGCCCUUAUAGGUAGGGCUACACACGUCAUACAAUGGAUGGUACAAAGGGUCGCCAACCCGCGAGGGGGAGCCAAUCCCAUAAAACCAUUCGUAGUCCGGAUCGCAGUCUGCAACUCGACUGCGUGAAGUCGGAAUCGCUAGUAAUCGUGGAUCAGAAUGUCACGGUGAAUACGUUCCCGGGUCUUGUACACACCGCCCGU
rnacentral:rRNA from 1 species